GUGCCGGCCCUUCGCGGCGCGCAGCCGUAAACCCCGCCAGGUCCGGAAGGAAGCAACGGUAGCGGCAGGCGCGUGCGCCGGAGUUCCGCUGG
rnacentral:SRP_RNA from 1 species